AGAUUGAACGCUGGCGGCAUGCUUUACACAUGCAAGUCGAGCGGCAGCGCGGGGGCAACCCUGGCGGCGAGCGGCGAACGGGUGAGUAAUACAUCGGAACGUGUCCAGUAGUGGGGGAUAACCAGUCGAAAGAUUGGCUAAUACCGCAUACGAUCUACGGAUGAAAGCGGGGGACCGCAAGGCCUCGCGCUAUUGGAGCGGCCGAUGUCCGAUUAGCUAGUUGGCGGGGUAACGGCCCACCAAGGCGACGAUCGGUAGCUGGUCUGAGAGGAUGAUCAGCCACACUGGAACUGAGACACGGUCCAGACUCCUACGGAGGCAGCAGUGGGGAAUUUUGGACAAUGGGCGCAAGCCUGAUCCAGCCAUGCCGCGUGAGUGAAGAAGGCCUUCGGUGUAAAGCUCUUUCGGCGGGACGAAACGGUCCGUGACAACGACCAUGGACUAAUGACGGUACUCGCAGAAGAAGCACGCUAACUACGUGCCAG
rnacentral:rRNA from 1 species